rnacentral:lncRNA from 1 species
UCUCACCAAAACAACCCCAGCUAAGAAGUUCCGUCGGGGGUGGAGGACUUUUUCCAAGCCUUUGUUUCUGUGGAGUCUCUGUGCAUGGCCUGCUGUGAUGAGCAGUCGGUUUUUCUCUAGAGAAGGCAUAAAGAGAAGCAGAGGCAGAGAUGGGACGAGCAGGGAGAAUGCUCCUGCCUCAUCGGAGCCACCGGUUUUCGGGAGAGAGCGGCAGCCCCCACCUGCCUGUGGACUGAGCACUUAAAGGUGAGAGAGGACUUUGUGAUUUCUUUGUGCACCUGGAGUUCUGGGAUGCAAGGCCAGAUGAAGGGAUCUUAAUCAUUGAGCCUGGUCUGUUGCCUCCCGAGUGAUUCUAUCAGGCAAGCAUGAUGGAUGAUUCCUUCCAAGCACACGCAGUUAUCUCUGACACGAGCCCCACUCAGGUCCCCUUGAGAUCUCUUGAACCAAGGGGCUUCUAGCCCCUCCUCCUCACCUUUCAGCACAGCCUUGUAAACCUCAGAUGUGGAUGAAGGUGCCGUCCUGCCUUUGACUUGACCUGUUGAUUUCCAACCGGGGCUGCUGGCCCUUCCUCUCUAGAGUGAGUAGUGACUCACACUUUUGGGGCCCUAUGAAAUGGUCCUCCAUCCAAGGGGCUUUGGGAAGCCUGUUUCCCUGGUGGCCCCAAGCCCAGUAACCAAAAGCAAUCAGACCCAGCUGUCCAGCUAAUUUUUUUAAAAUAGGCUUCCUUCCUAGUAGAAAUCAACAAAGUCUAAAAUAGAAGGGACUCUAAUAGGAAAUGAAGCUGCAGAGUUCUGUGUGGAAUGCAACAGGCAGGGACCUCGGCAUGGAAAAUACUAAGUGCAGAUUACAUGGCUGACAACCAUGGGAGCAGGAGAAGGAGUAAUCUCCUUGCUUAUCG